rnacentral:rRNA from 1 species
UGAGUACGAGACGCUACGGCGUCGAAGCAGUCUAUGUCAUACUUCCAAGAAAAGCUUGCACUGUCAUAACAAAUAAUGCCUGUACCAUAACCGACACAGGUGGGUAGGUAGAGUAUACUAAGGGGCGCGAGAUAACUCUCUCUAAGGAACUCGGCAAAAUGACUCCGUAACUUCGGGAGAAGGAGUGCCUUAUUCUUAAGGUUGCAAUAACAAGAUCCAAGCAACUGUUUAUCAAAAACACAGGUCUCCGCUAAGUCGUAAGACGAUGUAUGGGGGCUGACGCCUGCCCAGUGCCAGAAGGUUAAAGAAGUUGGUUAGCAUUCGCGAAGCUGAUAACUGAAGCCCUGGUGAACGGCGGCCGUAACGAUAACGGUCCUAAGGUAGCGAAAUUCCUUGUCGGGUAAGUUCCGACCCGCACGAAAGGCGUAAUGAUUUGGAUACUGUCUCGGAGAGGGGCUCGGUGAAAUAGACUUGUCUGUGAAGAUGCGGACUACCUGCACCUGGACAGAAAGACCCUAUGAAGCUUUACUGUAACUUGAAAUUGAAAUUGGACUUUAUUUGCGCAGUAUAGGUGGGAGGCGUUGAGAAUAUUCUUGCGGGAAUAUUGGAGCCAUCAGUGAGAUACCACUCUUGUAAUGUUAGAUUUCUAACUUUGAAUCAUUAUCUGGUCAAAGGACAGUUUCAGGCGGGCAGUUUGACUGGGGCGGUCGCCUCCUAAAUGGUAACGGAGGCGCACAAAGGUUUCCUCUGAACGGGUAGAAAUCGUAUCUAGAGUGUAAAGGCAUAAGGAAGCUUGACUGUGAGACCUACAAGUCGAGCAGGGACGAAAGUCGGUCUUAGUGAUCUGACGGUGCUGAGUGGAAAGGCCGUCACUCAACGGAUAAAAGUUACUCUAAGGAUAACAGGCUGAUCUCCCCCAAGAGUUCACAUCGACGGGGAGGUUUGGCACCUUGAUGUCGGCUCAUCGCAUCCUGGGGCGGUAGUACGUCCCAAGGGUUGGGCUUUCGCCCAUGAAAGCGGUACGCGAGCUGGGUUCAGAACGUCGUGAGACAGUUCGGUCCAUAUCCGGUGUAGGCGUUAGAAUAUUGAGAGGAGCCUUCUUUAGUACGAGAGGACCGAGAAGGACAUACCUCUGGUGUACCAGUUAUCGUGCCAACGGUAAACGCUGGGUAGCUAUGUAUGGAGAGGAUAACCGCUGAAAGCAUCUAAGUGGGAAGCCCACCUCAAGAUAAGUAUUC